rnacentral:lncRNA from 1 species
CCAACAUAACCUUAACUCGUUUCUCUGCUUAAGGCACCAGUGAAAGUAUCGACUAGUGCCGGCAAAGAGCUGAGGCUAAGGCUAUAUUGCAUAAGAUGUGCAACAAACGGCUAGCAUCGGAAUGGGAAGUGGCAGGUAAUGAAUGCAUGCUCUAAUUCUUCCUGCCGACCAUGACAUAAGUCACAAUAGACACUAACUACUGCGGCA